ACGCCUUAUACAUGCAAGUCGAACGAAGUAGCAAUACUUAGUGGCAGACGGGUGAGUAACAUGUAGGUAUCUUCCCUUUGGUGAGGAAUAACACGAGGAAACUUGUGCUAAUACCUCAUAAGUCUUUACGGAGAAAGCUUUAUGCGCCGAAGGAUGAGCCUGCAUUUGAUUAGUUUGUUGGUGGGGUAAUGGCCUACCAAGACUUUGAUCAAUAGCUGAUCUGAGAGGAUGAUCAGCCACAUUGGGACUGAGACACGGCCCAAACUCCUACGGGAGGCAGCAGUAGGGAAUAUUGCACAAUGGAGGAAACUCUGAUGCAGCGAUGCCGCGUGAGUGAAGAAGGCCCUUGGGUUGUAAAGCUCUUUCGUCGGGGAAGAAAAUGACUGUACCCGAAUAAGAAGGUCCGGCUAACUUCGUGCCAGCAGCCGCGGUAAUACGAAGGGACCUAGCGUAGUUCGGAAUUACUGGGCUUAAAGAGUUCGUAGGUUGUUAAAAAAGUUGGUGGUGAAAUCCCAGAGCUUAACUCUGGAACUGCCAUCAAAACUUUUUAGCUAGAGUAUGAUAGAGGAAAGCAGAAUUUCUAGUGUAGAGGUGAAAUUCGUAGAUAUUAGAAAGAAUACCAAUUGCGAAGGCAGCUUUCUGGAUCAUUACUGACACUGAGGAACGAAAGCAUGGGUAGCGAAGAGGAUUAGAUACCCUCGUAGUCCAUGCCGUAAACGAUGUGUGUUAGACGUUGGAAAUUUAUUUUCAGUGUCGCAGCGAAAGCAUUAAACACACCGCCUGGGGAG
rnacentral:rRNA from 1 species